GCCGGGUAAGCUCUUUGGCAAGGGCGGGGCCAUCAAAGCCCGAAAAAUGUGUCCGAACUAACAGUACGACUAAAUACAUAGGCGGUUCGAUUCCGUCACCCGGCUCCA
rnacentral:tRNA from 1 species